CAUGAGGAGAGAGCAGAGGAAAAAGGAGAAAGGUUUGCAGCAGGCUUUGCUGAAGGUGGCCCUUGCUGAAGGCCUCUGGCUGCUCUGGAGAAUUCUCCUGCCCAAAGCUCUUAAGAGGCACUGGUCACCAGAUGCAGCUGUGCAAGAUGUGGGAGUAUACACCUAUUUGGGUCCUGGGGCAGUAGGUGAUUGGGAUGUGGGUCCCUGGUAUCUCCACUGCCAGUCUGACCACUGAAGAACUCUGAGAACUCGUUCUCAGAAAGGAGAAAUAGGGAGAAGCUGUAUUAUCAAGAAAGCACAACAGUUCAAGCCUGACUCAGAACUCCAAGCCUGGUUUGGUUUGGUUGAAUCUCCAAGCCUGUCUGCAAGAAAAAUAGAAGCAUUGAAGUAAAAUAAGAUUUUUUUUCCACAGGGAUAUCUGGGGUGGGAUUACUUAAAGCAGUUUGGAAUGUGGGACUGAAGACCUAAGAAGUCAGAUUUAGUGCAAAUAAGACAAUAAAGAAAAGUUUCUGAGUUUCUCAGCUCCUGAAAUGCACAAAGUCAAAUAUCCAUUAACUGAAGCACACCAAAACCUUUUCUAUUUCUCAGUUUCAUGGGCCCUGUCAGACAAAAAUGCCUGGAUUCACACAGGGAGACCUUUGGAUGACUGUAAUAUUCCAAUGUCAGUGUCACUUAGGAAGCAUAACUAAGCUGUUGAUGUUCACAUGGAAAAUACAUUUGUAGACAACCACUACAGAACAGCAGGGUUUAUAAUAUGUUCAGUAAUUUUCUAACAUGUGGGAAGCUAUUUCAGAAAAAAAUGUUCAACUUGUUUCAAAAUAUAUAUUUUCACUACAUUAAUUAACUUAAUAUGCAGUGUGUACCUAAGUUUUAAUCAAAAUGCAGCUGGAAAUGUGAAGUUAAAUUUAUAUAUCAUAAGUUAUUGAAUUCAAUUGUAGUUCUUUGUUAUAUUCUAUUUCUUAAGGUUAUAUUUUCUGUUUGAAUCAUGUGAGUUGCCUGGAAACUUUCAUCCUGGAUCUAAAAACAUCCUACCAGAAAACUUUAUCUUUACAUGACAAAAAUGGAGCAAAGGCUCACUUCUCUCACUGAAAGGACUCCUUCCUUGUGAUCACUCCUUAUGAUCAAUGAACCACGUGCUAUUUCUCUAUAUAUGUCCUGGCUAGCCUCUUAAUGUUUAUUACUUCCCUAAUCUGUUGCUGGGUUAAUGGAAUCAUUGGCCCAUGUGCUGCUGUGAAUGCCCAUGGAAAGACAGAGGUCUGUUUGGUUGAUAGUCCUCAGUGACAUUUUUUAGAAAUAUGUAUUUUGUGGAUCAUUACUUGCGGAUCUUUGUCCUAAAGAUCUGUCUUGGGUUCUGGUUAUGACACAGAUGAAGUGAGUGACACUGAAAUUUUCCACAACCUGCACCUGUGAGCUCAUCUGCAACCACACACCAUCCAUUUUCCACAGCAAGGGUUUUUCAAGUCUCUGCAGCAUAUUGUAUCUGAAAGCCAGAAAUUUUUAACAAUAACUACUUCUACUAGUAGGCAGUAGCAUCAGACAAAUGUCUCUCCAA